GCACCUGAAAUAUCAAGUAAGGGCAAGGGCAAAGGG
rnacentral:sRNA from 1 species